rnacentral:lncRNA from 1 species
ACUGGGUUAUAGUAUUUAAUCCAAUGGUUAGAAAUAAUGAAAAGAGUUGAUCCAAAGGCUAAAAAAUUGGUAGCAAUAAUGGGAUUUUGCUACUAAUAGUAGCCCAGUCCAACUAUAUAUAUAUAUAUAUAUAGUAGGGCUACUAUACUCAUAUGAGUAUAGAGCCCUUCGUACUCAUAAGUUGUUUUCGAUGUUCGGGCUUCCGAAUCAACGAUCCACACCGUUAUAUAUGAUCUAGAGUAUUUGAAACUUUUAGAAAAUAAAUUUUGAAACUUUUCGAAACCAUUAUAAAGUCCAACAAACGGAUAUAAAAUGAACGGUCAAAAUCGAACGACGUCCUAAAAAUGAAUGAUCGGAUCCUUCAAUUUAAGAUCGGGAUUAUUGGUCUUUAUCUAGGCAAUGAAUAGAAUUUUCUAUUAAAAUUCAAGCUAUUCCGAUUUUUUUACACCGUUAAACUAGCAAGUAUCACAUACCGGCCGUUAAAAAUUAUCAAUUUUGUGAGAUAUUGAUCGUAAGGUAAAUGAUAUCAAAAAAUAUAAAAUAUGAUUUCUAGACAUUUUAAAUGCUCUAGAUAACGUUUAACAGUGUGGGUUGUCGAUUCGGAAGCUCUAUCAUCAAAAACAACUUAUGUGUACGAAGGCGAUCGUACUCAUAAUAGUAUAGUAGCUGGACUCAUAUAUAUAUAUAUAUAUAUAUAUAUAGAUAUAUAUAUAUAUAUAUAUAUAUAUAUAUAUAUAUAUAUNAGAGAGAGAGAGAGAGAGAGAGAGAGAGAGAGAGAGCGCUAGUCUCCUAUACUAUCUAUAGUACCGGGGCUCCGGUACUAUAGUCCCGUUUUUUAUCUUAGGGUAUUCAAAUCAAUGAUCCACACCGUUAAAACUGAUCUAGGAUAUUUAAAGUUUUUAGAAAUAAAAUUUUAUAUUUUUUCCAUAUAGUUUACUUUAUGAUCAAGCAAUUUCAAAAUUAUCAAUUUUCAAUGGCUACUAUGGCGAGUUUCGAGUUUAACGGUGUAGAAGAAUAUAAAUUUCUUCAAAUUUUGAUAGAAAAUACUUUAAACUAUCUAUAUUAAGGUUAACAAUUUU